rnacentral:rRNA from 1 species
UACGUAGGGACCAAGCGUUGUUCGGAUUUACUGGGCGUAAAGGGCGCGUAGGCGGCAAUUCAAGUCAUCUGUGAAAUCUCCGGGCUUAACUCGGAACGGUCAGGUGAUACUGCUUUGCUAGAGUGCGGAAGGGGCAAUCGGAAUUCUCGGUGUAGCGGUGAAAUGCGUAGAUAUCGGGAGGAACAUCAGUUGCGAAGGCGGCUCUCUGGACCAGCACUGACACUGAGGCACGAAAGCGUGGGGAGCAAACAGG